rnacentral:rRNA from 1 species
UGGGGAAUUAUGCGCAAUGGACGAAAGUCUGACGCUGCGACGUCGCGUGGGUGAUGAAGGUCUUCGGAUCGUAAAACCCUGUCGAGAGGGAAGAAAGGGCGGGCGCUAAUAUCGCCUACUUCUGACGGUACCUCUGGAGGAAGCCCCGGCUAACUCUGUGCCAGCAGCCGCGGUAAUACAGAGGGGGCAAGCGUUGUUCGGAAUUACUGGGCGUAAAGCGCGCGUAGGCGGUCGUAUAAGUCGGAUGUGAAAGCCUGGAGCUCAACUCCAGAACUGCCUUUGAAACUAGGUCGCUAGAAUCACGGAGAGGUGAGUGGAAUUCCGAGUGUAGAGGUGAAAUUCGUAGAUAUUCGGAAGAACACCAGUGGCGAAGGCGGCUCACUGGACGUGUAUUGACGCUGAGGUACGAAAGCGUGGGGAGCAAACAGGAUUAGAUACCCAAGUAGUCCCUGAGCGGGCUGGCAAGGCGCAU